AACACAAAAACAAAGAAGAAACAAAGAAGAAGAAUGGGUCUUACACAAUUCAACAAAGUGACCUGUGUUGCUCUCCUCUUUUGCUUCAUCCUCAUUGCAUCAUACGAAACUCAUAUGGUUGAAGCACGCCAUGGCGGUGGUGGCGGUGGUGGCGGCGGAUGUGUUUCACACCACUCUUGGAAUGGGAAUGGAGGUUGCUCGGGGCACUGUGGUGGGUGGUGCAAAGGAAUGGGUGGCUACAAGUGGAACUGUCAGCAUCAGACAUGUUCAUGCUACCAUAAGUGUAGUUAAAUGGAAAUAUUUGUAUGAUGCACUAUUUUCAUGUCACAAAAAUAGUGCAUCACACAAAUCUCAAUCUAUCAUAUAUAUAAUAUGAAAUAAAUGUUGCUACAAAUGGCUCUAGUCAUUUUGUCACAACAACAGAUGUGGUCCUAAUAAACGGGGUGUAUUUUAAUUAA